rnacentral:rRNA from 1 species
UACGUAGGGUGCGAGCGUUAAUCGGAAUUACUGGGCGUAAAGCGUGCGCAGGCGGUUUUGUAAGACCGAUGUGAAAUCCCCGGGCUCAACCUGGGAACUGCAUUGGUGACUGCAAGGCUUGAGUGUGUCAGAGGGAGGUGGAAUUCCGCGUGUAGCGGUGAAAUGCGUAGAUAUCUGGAGGAAUACCGGUGGCGAAGGCGGCAUCCUGGACCAUUUACUGACGCUGAGGCGCGAAAGCUAGGGGAGCAAACGGG